GGCGGGUUAGUCAAGAGGUUAAGAUACGCGGCUUUCAAUCGCGUGACGCUGGGUUCAAUUCCCGCACCCGCUACCA
rnacentral:tRNA from 1 species